GGAAUAUUAGCUCUGAAGUCCUUUCCAAAGCAGAGUAUAUAUCUUCCCAGUACAAAAAGGAAGUACUGGAAAAGUACUUACAGCAAAGCUGGAAGGCUGUUCUUUUGAUUGUGAGAUUGCCUCCAGCUAUGGUGUUCAUAUGCUACUGCCAGGAGUUACCACCCACCAGUCCUUUCAAAUGCUGAAGAAGGAGCUCAGACCACAACAGAGAGGCUGCAUGGAUUCUGGAGCAAAUUUCAGUUUUGAAGACAACUGCAGUACAGAAUCUGAUUUUUCAUUAUAUGGCUGGUGGUUCCUAGAAGGUUUCAGUUAAGUAAACAUGAAGGAUAAUAACAUCUCCUGAAAGUCUGCAGUUUCCUCAUGAAACAAAAGCUUGCAGAUGUAAGGACUGAAGACUGCACCAGUGUUGAAGAUGUCAGUAUAAAACACCAGAAGAAGUGGUACAAGAAAGUGAGGAAGCCAUCCUUGACAGAAAUAAAAGGAAUGAAGAACAGACUGCACUUGAAAAGUGUGAAUAGAAUUCUCUCGUUAUACUCUGGGAGUGUAUGAUACAGUUUGGAGGAACUUCUUUUCAGCUCUGAAAGUGAAUUAUUGAAGAAUCCAUUUCAUUUUCCAUCGGGGAUUUCAUUUUGUAUCUGGGAUACAGUUAACAAUGUCAUAGGACAAAAAUAUAGGAAUACCCAAGCAAUCACAUUUGUUUGUUUGAUUUUGUUUGUUUUACAAUCUUCAGUGUCAUUUUUUAUUCAUUAGAAUUCACAGAAGUGGCCUUAGCUUAGAUCAUUUCUGCUCCAAUGUAAG
rnacentral:lncRNA from 1 species